CACGUAGGGCGCAAGCGUUGUCCGGAAUUAUUGGGCGUAAAGAGCUCGUAGGCGGUCUGUUGCGUCCGCUGUGAAAAACUCGGGGCUUAACCCCGAGCCUGCAGUGGAUACGGGCAGACUAGAGGUAGGUAGGGGAGAAUGGAAUUCCCGGUGUAGCGGUGAAAUGCGCAGAUAUCAGGAGGAACACCGGUGGCGAAGGCGGGUCUCUGGGCCGAUACUGACGCUGAGACGCGAAAGCGUGGGGAGCAAACAGG
rnacentral:rRNA from 1 species